rnacentral:misc_RNA from 1 species
UUUCCGUAGGUGAACCUGCGGAAGGAUCAUUAUUGAAUAAACCUGAUGUGUUGUAGCUGGCCCUUUCGGGAGCAUGUGCACACCCGUCGUCUUUAUCUUUCCACCUGUGCACCUUUUGUAGACCUGGAUGUAACACUUUCCGAGGCAACUCGGUCGGGAGGAAUACUGUCAGCUUUCCUUGAAUGUCCAGGCCUAUGUUUUCAUAUACCCCAAAGAAUGUAACAGAAUGUAUUAUUGGGCCUUGUGCCUAUAAACUAUAUACAACUUUCAGCAACGGAUCUCUUGGCUCUC